GACGAACGCUGGCGGCGUGCCUAACACAUGCAAGUCGAACGGAAAGGCCUCUUUCGGGGGGUACUCGAGUGGCGAACGGGUGAGUAACACGUGAGUAACCUGCCCUUGACUUUGGGAUAACUUCAGGAAACUGGGGCUAAUACCGGAUAGGAGCUCCUGCUGCAUGGUGGGGGUUGGAAAGUUUCGGCGGUUGGGGAUGGACUCGCGGCUUAUCAGCUUGUUGGUGGGGUAGUGGCUUACCAAGGCUUUGACGGGUAGCCGGCCUGAGAGGGUGACCGGCCACAUUGGGACUGAGAUACGGCCCAGACUCCUACGGGAGGCAGCAGUGGGGAAUAUUGCACAAUGGGUGGAAGCCUGAUGCAGCAACGCCGUGUGCGGGAUGACGGCCUUCGGGUUGUAAACCGCUUUCGCUCAUGACGAAGCUUUGUGUGACGGUAGUGGGUAAAGAAGCACCGGCUAACUACGUG
rnacentral:rRNA from 1 species